rnacentral:rRNA from 1 species
AUUGAACGCUGGCGGCAGGCCUAACACAUGCAAGUCGAACGAGUGGCGGACGUGUGAGUAAUGUCUGGGAAACUGCCUGAUGGAGGGGUAUAACUACUGGAAACGGUAUCUAAUCCCACAUACCCUCGUAUGUGCCCAGAUGGGAUUAGCUAGUAGGUGGGGUAAAGGCUCACCGAGGCGACGAUCCCUAGCUGGUCUGAGAGGAUGACCAGCCAAACUGGAACUGAGACACGGUCCAGACGCCUACGGGAGGCAGCAGUGGGGAAUAUUGCACAAUGGGCGCAAGCCUGAUGCAGCCAUGCCGCGUGUAUGAAGAAGGCCGUCGGGUUGUAAAGUACUUUAAGCGGGGAGGCGUUACCCGCAGAAGAAGCACCGGCUAACUCCGUGCCAGCAGCCGCGGUAAUUC